GUGGUAAAACCUUUGCACGAAACAAUCAUCUCCUACAACAUAAGAGAGUACACAAUGGAGAGAAACCCUAUGAAUGCAAGCAUUGUGGUAAAGCCUUUGCAUAUUAUAAUAGUCUCCAAGUGCAUAACCGAACACAUACAGGAGAGAAACCCUAUGAGUGUAAUCAAUGUGGUAAAGCCUUUUCAUGUACAAGUGGUCUCCUGCAUCAUAAACAAAUACAUAACACACACAGGGGAGAAACCUUUUGAAUAUAAUCAAUGUGUUAAAGCCUUUCCAAACCAACCUAGUCUGCAAAUACAUAAAACAACACAUACUGGAGAGAAACUGUUUGAAUGCAACCAAUGUGGUAAAGCCAUUGCAUAUUCAUGGUCUUCUCUGAAUACAUGAAAGAAUAUCUACUGGAGAUGUAUAUUAUGAGUGCAAGCAAUGAAGCCUUUGCACACAUCUGUAGUCAUCAUCAUGGAAGAAUCCAUACUGGAUAGAAACUCUGAAUGUAUUUAAUAUGGUGAAGCCUUUUCAAAUUCCACAAAAGACUUUCAUAAUCAUCAAAGAGAAACCCUAUAAAUGUAUUUAAUAUGGUGAAACCUUUGCACAUUUCUACAGUUUUCAUCAUCAUGAAAGUACUCACACUGUAGAGAAAGUCUGUGAGUGUAGCAAUGUGGAAAAGCCUAUGUGUAAUAUGGUCCGCUGAGAUCCAACACAACUCAAACUCAUGCUAUGAAAAUGAC
rnacentral:lncRNA from 1 species